rnacentral:rRNA from 1 species
UACGUAGGCAGCGAGCGUUGUUCGGAAUUACUGGGCGUAAAGAGUGUGUAGGCGGUGCUCUAAGUUCGGUGUGAAAUCUCCCGCUUAACUGGGAGGGUGCGCCGGAAACUGGAGUGCUCGAGCGUGGGAGAGGAAAGCGGAAUUCCUGGUGUAGCGGUGAAAUGCGUAGAUAUCAGGAGGAACACCUGUGGUGUAGACGGCUUUCUGGACCAUAGCUGACGCUGAGACACGAAAGCGUGGGUAGCAAACAGG